UGCAUCUAAGCGGGAAACUUUCCUUGAAAUAAGGUAUCCCAAUUAAGGAAGUGGUAGACAACCACAUUGAUAGGUCGGGGGUGAAAGCGCUGUGAGGCGUUGAGCUGACCGAUACUAAUUACCUGAUUGACUUUAUUCA
rnacentral:rRNA from 1 species